rnacentral:rRNA from 1 species
AAGACUGGCGGCUGCUAUACAUGCAAGUCGAGCGGACAGAUGGGAGCUUGCUCCCUGAUGUUAGCGGCGGACGGGUGAGUAACACGUGGGUAACCUGCCUGUAAGACUGGGAUAACUCCGGGAAACCGGGGCUAAUACCGGAUGGUUGUUUGAACCGCAUGGUUCAAACAUAAAAGGUGGCUUCGGCUACCACUUACAGAUGGACCCGCGGCGCAUUAGCUAGUUGGUGAGGUAACGGCUCACCAAGGCAACGAUGCGUAGCCGACCUGAGAGGGUGAUCGGCCACACUGGGACUGAGACACGGCCCAGACUCCUACGGGAGGCAGCAGUAGGGAAUCUUCCGCAAUGGACGAAAGUCUGACGGAGCAACGCCGCGUGAGUGAUGAAGGUUUUCGGAUCGUAAAGCUCUGUUGUUAGGGAAGAACAAGUACCGUUCGAAUAGGGCGGUACCUUGACGGUACCUAACCAGAAAGCCACGGCUAACUACGUGCCAGCAGCCGCGGUAAUACGUAGGUGGCAAGCGUUGUCCGGAAUUAUUGGGCGUAAAGGGCUCGCAGGCGGUUUCUUAAGUCUGAUGUGAAAGCCCCCGGCUCAACCGGGGAGGGUCAUUGGAAACUGGGGAACUUGAGUGCAGAAGAGGAGAGUGGAAUUCCACGUGUAGCGGUGAAAUGCGUAGAGAUGUGGAGGAACACCAGUGGCGAAGGCGACUCUCUGGUCUGUAACUGACGCUGACGAGCGAUAGCGUGGGGAGCGUACAGGAUUACAUACGCUGGUAGUCCACGCCGUAAACGAUGACUGCUAAGUGUUAGGGGGUUUCCGCCCCUUAGUGCUGCAGCUAACGCAUUAAGCACUCCGCCUGGGG